GUCACCACAACAGCGCGUUGCGCCUCAAACCUGAGACGCUGUUCCAGGUGACAGAAACUAGUGCACUGUUUUGGAUCUAAAAGGUGCACUACUGUCUGUGUCUAUAGGUCGGGUGCGUUUGGUCUCUUUUUCAGUCCUUCCUUUAUGUCAGCGCCGCUCCGCCUCCUGAGCGUGCAACUUUGACGCUGUGUAUAAAUACUGGAACAAAAGAACUUCCUCAAUGCCCGGCGAAACGGCAAUAAAUAAACUCACAGUUAUGCGUCGCGAUCCGAAAUGAUCGAUUAUUAUAAUGAUUAUGAUUAUUAUUAUUAUUAGAUCUGCGAGGUAAUGGUGAUGACUGCAUUUGAUACUUCUUUUUUUCCAAACCAAGGAAUACUUCGCACAUUCGCGUUUCUCUUCAAAUGGUUGAAGACAAGACAACUAAGACAGGUUGCCGUUCAAAAGCGUGCUUUGUAUAUCUGUAUGUCUGUGGGUUCUUUUGGUUUUUAAAAAAAAAAUAUCAAUCAAAUCGGAUUUUCCGGUUAUACAAAUUGAUAAUUUUGCAAUGAAAUACUAAUGUUCAAACUAUAGUAUAUUGUAAUGUUUUGUUGAUCCUUGUGGCGUCUAAACAAAGAUCUGUGAUAGGUUAGACUGUGUGCUGGAGCGCCUGUAGAAAGUAGGCACCCUGUUUACAAUAACAGCGGCCUCGUCUUAUCACGUGAUUGACAAUGAAGGCGCACCAAUAAAGGCGUGGGCUGGCGACGGUGGGCGGGGCCUGUGGCGCCAGCAACGCGCUAUAUUUGGAAGGUGUGACGUCAUCGCCAGUCUGCCUGUCAGAGGCGGGACAUCCGUGAGGAUGCGCGCUUGUCUGGGCAUGUCUAUAGCUCUCUUUGUCAGCCACUGUUUACUUAUUUUACCGGCGAACUAACGACAUUGAGUUUAAUAUAAAAUACCAAACAUCUUUAUUCUGGGCUGGUAACUUUUCAACUAUGACUCUAAUUUCUUCAUUUCUAAAAAUGUGUGUGUGUGUGUGUGUGUGUGUUAGUGUGUUUGUUUAUGUACAAUGUGUGGGAAGGUUUUUAUCUCUUGUUGGGGACCAAAUGUCCCUAGAAGGAUAGGACUAUUUGAUCGUUUUGACGUCCUGAUGACAUCUAGCUUUUUUUGUACAAAAACUGUAGCUUUUAUUAAAAACAAACAAAUGUAAACUAAAAAGGCUUACUUGUGGAUACCGAGGGUAGGGUUAGGUGGAGGUAUACACUCACGGAGCACUUUAUUAGGAACACCUGUAGGCUACUGUACAGGUAGUCAUUCAUGCAAUUAUCUAAUCAGCCAAUCGUAUGGCAGCAGUGCAGUGCAAAAAAUCAUGCAGGCUCUGCCCAGCAGCUUUGAGUAAUGUUUGUCAACCAUCAGCAUGGACAAUAAAUGUGAUCUCAGUGAUUUUGACCAUGGCAUGAUUACUUGUGCUAGAUGGGUUAGUUUGAGUAUUUCUAUAAGUGCUGAUCUCCUGGGAUUUUCAUGCACAACAGUCUCUAGAGAUUACUCAGAAUGGUGCAAUAAGGAAAAAAUAUACAGUAAGUGGCAGUUCUGCAGAUGGAAACAGCAUGUUGAUGAGUCAAAAGAGAAUGACCAGACUGGAUUGAGCUGAGAGAAAAGCUACAGUAACUCAGAUAACCACUCUAUACAAUUGUGGUGAGCAGAAAAGCAUCUCAGAAUGCACAACAUGUUGAACCUUGAGCCGGAUUGGCUACAACAGCAGAAGACCAUGUCGUGCUUCUACUUCUGACAGUCAAGAACAGAACGCUGAGGCUGCAGUGGGCACAGGCUCACCAAAACUGGACAGGUGAAGACUGGAAAAACGUAGCCUGGUCUGAUUUCUGCUGAGGCACACAGAUGUUGGGGUCAGAAUUUGGCCCCAACCGCAUUAAUCCAUGGACCCAACCUGCCUUGUGUCAACAGUCCAGGCUGGUGGAGUUGGUAUAAUGGUGUGGAGAAUGUUUUCUUGGUCCCGUUAUUACCAGUCAACCAUAGCUUGAAUGCCACAGCCUAUUUGAGUAUUGUUGCUGACCAUGUGCAUCCCUUCAUGGCCACAAUUUACCCACCUUCUAAUGGCUACUUCCAGCAUGAUAAUGCAAAAGUCGUCAAAGCAUAAGUCGUCUCAAACUGUUUUAUGAACAUGACAAUGAGUUCAGUGGUCUUCAGUGGCCUUCCCAAUCACCAGAUCUGAAUCUAGUAGAUCACCUUUGGUAUGUGGUAGAACUGGAGAUUUGCAGCAUGAAAAUGCACCUGAAAAAUCUGCUGGAAUUGCGUGAUGCAAUCACGUCAACAUGGACCAGAAUCUCAGACCGGAAUUUUUUUACCAUCUUGUGGAAUCCAUUCCUUGAUGAAUUCAGACUGUUCUGAGAGCAAAGGGAUGCGCUACCCAGUAUUAGUAUAGUGUUCCUAAUCAAGUUUUAGGUGAGUGUAAAUGGAGAAGAAUCCAUGUCAGAUUGAAAAGCAGUCAUACUGGGGGGAAAUCAUGAAAUCCAAUAAACAGGUGCUAACGUGCCACAGUGAAAAGCAAAACUUUCACUGCAUUGCUCUUCAUCACUAUGUGAAAAACAAUCAAUAUGGGUUUGCCUUUUAAGAAUGAAAUGCUGCUUGACUGCCAGAAGUGAAUAUUAUCCUCCAUUAAAAGCAAUCCAUGUGCAGUAUUGUAUUUAAUUGUGUUUCCUUUUUGUGUGAAAUACAAUACAGAAACAGUGACAAGCAGAAAAUGUUAUGCCUAGUUAAUCAGUACAUGUGAGAGCUUUCAUUGUAUUUUUCAUUAAAGCAUCCCCAGUAUGAACAUAAAAAAAUGCCUCAUUUUGAAGGCUGAAGAUGCAACAUUGAUGAAAAUACUACAUUUGUCUAAGAAUGUGUUUUUAGUCAUAUGAACAUUAUCAUAUUUUAGUAAUAAUUAAAAAAGCUUGAUGAUUAAGAGUUGAAGGCAGUAGGAAUGAAGAAACAAUGAGCCUAUAUGAAAUUUUAAAGGGAAAUGUUUUAUCUGGACUGCAGCACCUCCUGGAAUAUUAUGCUUCCAGGACCUUGUUCCCACCUCUGAUUACAGCCACGCCCCCAAGUAAAACAGCUAAAGACCCACCACUUCCGUGAAUACUUAACUAACCCCUAAAACGCCAACCCCACAUAAUGCUUUUUAUUUAUUUGUUUAUUUAUAAAUAAACUUUGGCACUUACCUCUACUCUGCACACUCUGCUUUUCUAGUACACAGUUAAAAACAUCUUGUAUGGUAGCACUACUUGUAUUGUUCUCUGCUUGAUAUAUCGCUUUGCUUGUAUUUCCCCAUUUGUAAGUCGCUUUGGAUAAAAGCAUCUGUUAAAUGAAUAAAUGUAAAUGUAAGUAUAGCGUGAUUGAACAGCCAGUGCAUUAUGUUGUGCACAAGAAGCUCAUGCACCACAAAGUAAAUUGCGAUGCACAGGGCAAUUACAUUCACUUCUGACCAAAGUCAGUGUUUAAUUCUUAAGAUGUAUGGUGCUUUUCAGUGUGGAACGUUUUAUGUAUGUCACUAAUGAAAAAGCAGUAUGGUUUGUGUAUUGUAUUUCAUGUACUGACCCGACCCGACCCCCCACCCCACCCCCCAAGUAUGAUUAGUUUUCUACAUAAUAUGGUCAAAAGCAUGUGGACACCUGACCAUAACACCCAUAUGUGGGUCUUCCCAAACUGUUGCCACAAAGCUGGAAGCACAUAACUGUAUAUCUUUGUAUGCUGGAACUAAGGGGCCUAAAAAUGUUCCAGUGUGACAAUGCCCCUUUCCACAAAGUGAAGACCUGAUUUGCCAAGGUUGAUGAGGAAGAGCCUGAGAGGCCUGCACAGAGCCCUGACCUCAACCCACUGAACACCUUUGGGAUGUAUUGGAACAGUGACUGUGCCCUAGGCCUCUUCGUUCAACAUCAGUGUCACUAAUGCUCUUGUGGCUGAAUGAGCACAAAUCCACACAGCCACAAUCCAAAAUCUAGUGGAAACCUUCCCGGAAGAGUGGAGGUUAAUGUAUCAUCAAAAAGGAAUUAAAUCUGCAAUGGAAUGUUCAAAAAUCACAUAUAGGUGUGAUGGUCAGAUGUCCAUAAAUUUUUGGCCAUACAGUGUAACUGCCACAGAUUCUUCUCCAUAGGUACAGAAUUAAUUAGCUGAAUUAAUAAUUAUGCCAAUGGCAGGUCUUCUCAAGGAUAGUAAUACAGCAACCUUUUUACUUUGACUGUGUGUGUGUGUUUGUUUGUUUGUUUGUUUGUUUAUUUACAUAUGUGUGGGAAGGUUUUUAUCUCUUGUUGGGGACCAAAUGUCCCUACAAGGGACAACAAGUAUUGCUGGCUUGACUUGCAGGGAUGUGAACAAGUAACUACACCCCUACAUUUAUCACACCUUCAAAUCCAUAAAAUUAGAAUCAGGUGUUCAAGGUUGAGUGCCAGUGACUAGACCCUACUUAGGGAGUGCAGGUGGAUCCUGUCUUAUUUAUACCCCUCUCAUAUCUACUGUCUGGUUUUCCCUUAUUGAGGUGUGUGGUGUCAUCAUGCCAAGGUCUAAAGGGUUAUGUAAGACCUUUAGAGAAAUGGCUGUGGAUGUGUAUGAGUCUGGCAAGAGAUUUAAAAAGAUCUCCAAAUUAUUUGAAAUACAUCAUUCCACUCUAAGGAAAAUCAUCAACAAGUGGUGCAGACUUCAAACGACUGCCAAUUUGGCCGUCCCAGCAAAUUCAAUACAAGAGCAGACCAUCUGAUGCAAAAAUAAAUAUCCAAGAGCUCCAAAAUUUCAUCACAGGAUCUGCUAGUAAGUCUUGCAACUGUUGGUGUCAGAGUGCAUGCUUCUACAAUCAGAAAGAGAUUUGACCUGCAUGAGAGCCGUGCCAGGAAAAAGCCUGUGUUGUCUGAAAAAGAACAUUAAAGCAAGACUACAGUUUGCCAAUGAGCAUAUAGUCAAAGACCAGGCCUUUCGGAAUAAUGUGCUCUGGACAGACAAACAUAGAGUUGUUUGGCCACAGUAACAGCAGACAUAUUUGGUGCAGACCAAAGAUAGCUUUUCAGGAGAAGCACUACAUACCAACUUUGAAGCACGGUGGGGGAUAUGUUAUGGUUUGGGGUUGCUUUGCUGCCUCGGGGACUGGACAUCUUCCAUUCAUUGAUUCAACUAUGAAUUCUACAUCAUAUCAAAGACAAUGUGAGGCCAACUGUCCGAUAGUUGAAGUUGAACUGAAAGUGGACCUUUCAACAGGAUAAUGAUCCUAAACACACUAGCGCCAACCGCAUGAAUUUGGAGUGCCUUAGUCAAGGGUCUGAAUUGUUACCUAAUGAGAGGUUUCAGUUUUUAAGUUUAAAUAAAUUUAAUACAUUUAAUACAUUUAAAAUGAAAUCUAUAACACAAUAAAGUGUGCAAAAACUGAAGGAGUCUGAAUACUUUCCGAAUCCAUUGUAUGUCUAUGCUCUCUUUCUAUUAACCCUAUUAAUCUUUUUGAAUGGCCACAUAUUUAAUGUUUGAUUAAUUGUGGAUAGCUUUAAUUAAUUAAUGUUAUUAACUAAUUAAAUGUGUAAGCAAUUCAGGAUCAUAAUACCAGACAAUAAUGAUACUGAUUUGAUUAAACUGUAUGGCACAGAAGGACAAGUUUUCUGGACUAUGUGGAUCAAUAUUGAUCCUUUAAUUAAUAUUAAAGGAUACUUUAAUUAUUAUUUUCCAGAACAACAACAGGAUUUACAUUGGAAGCUGGAAUUUGAUUCUAUAUAACUUAAAAUAUUUUAAAUGUUUUAAUAUAAUUUUUUUUUUUCCUGUUAUCCCUAAAAGGAUCAUUUGUAACUGUCUCAUGAUCCAGGAAAUAAGCCAUAAUUGUCUGGAAAUGGAGCGAAUGCUCGCAUGCAUGUGCAUGCACGCAGACACACACUCACUAUGUCUCAUAUACACAAAGGCACUCAUACACUUGCACAAACACAAACAAAGCAAAAAUGGCCUGAAGCCACUUAUUACAUUUAGUGUUUCUAUCUGGAAAGCUGAGGUGUGGUUCAGCUCCGAUUUCAAAACACAGUCCUAUUCUGAGUUUUGUGGAGUAGUGGAGAAGAUGGCUAAAAAUUGUGAAACGUGAGAAGUGGCUCUGUGCAUUGUAUGGCUAAUGCAAAAGAGUUCCUUUUUCAAUAAUGUUAUGUACUUGUUCAUGUAUAAUAUAAAAGAAGUCAGUUUGUAACACUAAUGCUGCUUUAUAGACUACUCUUCCUGAUCUAGUUUAUCUGUAAACAAACAGACAUUUUCCCUACCCACUGUUGUCCAUUGCCACAAAUAACAAACCAUAACACAGUGUGCCCUGUAAAUGAAAUAUCGGCUUAAACAAACUAAAGUAAAGUAAACUAAAAAUAUAUUUGCCCCUUGAUGCAUUUAGUCAUUGAGUGUGGGAUUUUUGAGUGCAGUACCCCUAGGCCAGACUGUGCUGUGCAAGGAAUCAGGUAGCACCCUGAGUAGCACCCAGUGUUGCCAAGGUAGUAAAUUUAUCAUUAAAUUUGGUGACUUCUUAGACCUGUUUUGCAACUUUGUUUUAAAACAGAAUCUAGCCAAAAAUCUAGUGACUUGUUGAGCAGAUGUUAGCAACUGUCCUGCACUUGAUAUGGCUCUCCAGCUCACAUCACAGCUGCGGGAUAUACUGGUUGAAAGAGCAGAUUUGUUUAACUCACAACCAGUAUGUAAAGCCUGACUGAGUUGCAUUUGCACAAACCAAUGUUCCCAAAGACAAAUCACUGAUUACCAUUGUUUGUCCCACCUAUGUACUUCUUUGUUCUUCUUUUUAAAUUCUUUUCUGGGCUAUAUUUAGAAAUAAUAAAAGUUAAUUAUUCCAUUUGUAAGUUUUUCCUUCAUGUCUGUUUCCUAACUACCCACUGCCACUACUUGUUUUUGUCUGCCUUGUUGAUAGAAAUUAUACUAUUUUAUAAAUACGCAAAUACUUCAUUUGUGGUGCCAUGACCAAAGACUUAUUUUUAUAAUAGAUCAUUCUAAUCUAUUAUUCAACUGUUAGUUCCAGUCCACUAAUUUGUUUGGACAAGUGGCAUUCCAAGAGAUAUUUAGUUUUAAUGUAACAGCACUGGUACAUUUCUCUGUUUGUAUCAGUCUGCUUGUCUGUGUUACAUAAAACUUAAAUUCUAGCAAUAGUUCAUUAACUGUUACUACAGUUACUAUGAGCUGUCAGUCAGUCUUUGUAGCAAAGCAACACGCAAUGCGCUACCAAGCUAUGCCUUCUUUGGGAAUUAUUCCCAGUAAUGGAGCAAAAAUAAACAAACAAACAAACAAAACAAAAAAACAACAAUAUCCAUCCAACCAUUUUCUGUACCUCUUAUCCUACACAGGGUCACAGGGAACCUGGAGCCUAUCCCAGGGGACUAAGGCACAAGGCAGGGGACACAUUGGACAGGGUGCCAACUCAUCGCUGGGCACAGUCACACACACACACACACACACACACACACACACACACACACACACACACACACACACACACACACACACACACACAUUCACACACCACAGACAAUUUAGAGAUACCAAUCAGUCUAAAACACAUGUCGUUGGACUGGGGGAGGAAACCCCCUAAGCACAGAACAUGCAAGCAAACUUGCUAACCAAUUAGUCCCCCCCCCAAUAAACGCAAUAUCACACUUGCAUGACCUGCAGUCUCAUGCCUACUGCUGAAUCACUGCCAUGCUGAUAUUCAAUAUUACAACAUAUACAGUUGCAAUCAAAAUUAUUCAACCCCAAUUGCAAAUCAGGUUUAUUGUCAAAAUUUACAGACUUUCAGCUGUUUGCAAUGAACAAAUCAAACGUAAUUGAAAUAGUUCAACACAAUGAAUGCUUCAAGUGGUUUCUCCAAAUUCAAACGAAAAUGCAACUUAUAUGAUUUCUCCAGUUUCAAAAUUAUUCAACCCCUUAAAUAGAAUCCCUCACAACAGCACAAAUAUGCAAGACAGGUGUUGUCUCAAGCACACCUUUUGCAACUAAUCAAGGGCUUCAUUAGUUGCACCAGGUGUGCUUGAGCUGGAACACAUGAAAUACCUGAACUGGCUAGGGGUAGAAAAAGGAAGCUCUCAACAGCUGCAAUCAGAUUUCUGAGAAGGCAGGUUGUGAAAAACCCUCGAGUGACUGCAAAAGACCUGCACCAAGACUUGGUGGCGACAGGCACUGAGGUUUCAGUGAGCACAGUAAGGAGUGUACUAAAUGCAGAAGGUUUCCAUGCCAGAACUCCAAGAUGUACACCCCUACUGAUCCAAAAGCACAAGAAACGUCGGCUCAAAAUCAUAUAAAUAAGCCAAAGAAAUUUUGGGAUUCUGUUCUGUAGAGUGAUGAAACAAACUGCAACUUUUCAGCACAAUGGAUCAGCAGUAUGUCUGGAGGAAGAAGAAUGAAGAAAGAACACUCUGUCCACGGUCAAGCGUGGUGGUGGCUCAGUGAUGCUCUGGGGCUGCUUUGUAUCCUCUGGCACUGGAAACCUUCAGUGUGUGGAAGGAAAGAUGGAUUCAUUGAAGUAUCAGGAAAUCCUAGGAGAAAAUGUCAUGCCGUCUCUGAGGAAACUGAAGCUUGGGCAUCAUUGGACCUACCAACAGGACAAUGAUCCCAAGCAUACCUCAAAUUCCACCAAGGCUUGAUUGCAGAAGAAGUCUUGGAAGAUUCUACAGGGUCAUCACAGUCACCUAACUUGAACCCCAUAGAAAAUAUCUGGUGGGAUUUGAAGAAGGCGGUUGCAGUAUGCAAACCCAAGAAUAUUACUGACCUGGAGGCCAUUGCUCAUGAGGAAUGGACUAAGAUUACUCAGGAACGCUGCCAGAAGCUGGUGUCUGGCUAUGCAUCUUGUUUGCAGUAGGUCAUAACAGCAAAAGAAUGUUCUACUAAGUACUAAAGAUGCUUGCCAUGAAGGGGUUAGUAAGUAAGUAAAUUUUAUUUAUAAAGCACAUUUAACACAGCGAAGCUGACCAAAGUGCUGAACAGAGUAAAGAAAAGUAAAAUAGAAAACAGAAUAAAACCAAAUAAAGACAGACAAUAGACAAUUAUAAAAAUUAGAUUAAAAUGCCUAGGAGAAGAGAUAUGUUUUAAACCUUUUAUUAAAAGUGGUUAUUGAAUAAUUUUGAAACUGGAGAAACCAUUAUAAGUUGCAUUUUCAGUUGAGUCUGGGGAAACCAUUUGAAGCAUUCGUUGUGUUGAACUAUUUCAGUUGUUUUUGUUUGAUUUGUUCAUUGCAAACAGCUGAAAGUCUGUAAAUUUUGACAGUAAACCUGAUUUGCAAUGGGGGUUGAGUAAUUUUGAUUGCAACUGUAGCGAUAUUGCUUAAUUAUUUUCUAUUAUGAAAAACUCUAUUCUGUUCUAUUCUGUACAUGUUCCUUUUUCAUGUAACACAAUUUGAUAUGCAAAUAAUAAUGACUAUUAAUAAUGAUCCAAUGAAUAUGCAGAUUAGAAUGUGACGUCAUCUGGUGACUUCUAGCCACUUUUAAAGCAUCUAUUAUCUGCUUUCCCCCGAAAAGAGUUAACAACCGUGUUUAUUACACAAUAUUCACCCUUCUAAAACACUACACUGUUACUGUGUACAGUAUGUUGGCUAGAUGCGUGUGUUGAAUUACACUUAUAGUCGGUGGCAGAGCCUCUUUUACAAAGAGAAUAAUAUUACACACAAUGUGUCUUAUAAUAGAAUAUCGUUAAAAGCUGGACCAGUCACUUUUAAUGAUCUGUAAGCAAUAUUAAGAUGAAUGUAACGUUGGCGAAUGUCCGCUCUGUUGGAGCGCUACAGCGGGCAGUAAACAGAAAGGGGGCGGGGAUUGUCUCCGUGCUCCUCCAAUACGGUCGCGCGCUGCUGAUGGGGUGAGCGCGUCACUGGCGAUGCAGCUCGCGCUCACUGCUGUUGUCACGGCGCCGCAGACUCCACUUCAACAUCCUUGGAACAGCGGUGCUACAUCACCUUUCUCACAUAAUAAGACUUAGGUGGCAGUAAACAUUUCUUCUAAAAACUGCCUUUCAUCUAUAACCGGAAAUCAGCCCUGAUUUUACUGUAUUUUAUAAAUUGUAUAAAUUUUUGAUGUAUUUUAUUUUUUAUUGUUUUUAUCUACACUAAUAUUCACAAUAACUCACGAGUAAAUUAUUUUCGGCUAACUGCAUGGAGAUUUUGUCUUUCAUGAGACAGGAACCCUUUUGAGUUUUUACUAAGCAGCCUGAAAACGUCCUUGUGUCACAUUACAUGCGCUUUAUAUGUGCCUCCCGAAUAACCAAGACACAAAAGACCGUGCACGUGAUUGACGUAUUAAUUAAUCUCAGUAUGGUUCUUGUACUGGCAUGCCAUACCCCUCGCUUUGUAAGUGAAACUUCAGCACUGUGAUAUUUGCUCUCUGUUGGCUCUUCUGCGCUGUCUCCGUGGGUUGCUAUAGCUGGUUUGAGGAUGCAUUUCUUUGGACCAAUCGUAGGCCGCGCUCUCUGUAACGUCAUACAACAACGUGAGAGGGGGCGUGGCUCCGGCAAAUUUGAAUGAAGAGUGGAGCUUUCGGCGCCAUUUUCGAGUGAGUAGCGGUAGGAAUAACAGCUGCUGCGGUGCGGCUUUGAGGGGUCCCCCCCUCCCGUAUUCGGAUUAAAUGUCAAUUAGGUUAUUUUUAAGUAUUUGAAAAUUAAAAAAAAAAAAAAAACAACAACUACAACAACCAACUACAAUAAUUUGGAAAUGGGGCCUGGCCGAGGAGGAGUGAUGGAGACAAAGAAGAAAGCAAGUUGGAGGGCAAGUACCGUUAGCUGAAGUGGAGACAAGAGGAUACAGUACGCUAGCUCGCGAAGCUAAUCCUGCUAGCAUCGCCUAUGAGAAUCGGAGUGUUCUUGGACCGCGGUGAAAUAGCCAUUUCUCACGGAAAAUUAUUUUAAAAUUAGUGGAUUGCGUUGGAAAAAUCUGGAAAAAUUCUGAAAAUAAGGGCGGGCGAUGAAGAAGCGGAUGCGACCGUUUGUUGGUGACGGUUUGUUGUUUUUCGGCAUUUUUUGAACGCGCCGUUUGAGCGGGAUUGGAGAAGUGGAGGAGCCGACGCAGCCUAUCAGCACCGAGAAACACCGCCGGGACGUCUCUCCAACACUCUUCCAACCGUUUUUCAUGCCAAAUAAUAAUUUCCUAUUGCACGUUUAAAAAAAAUAAAACACUUUUUUUUUCCACCGUCACUGAUGAUGGAAGAUGUGUAUCCUUUAUGACUAUACAAGCCAUUUGUAUUUACGAUUUGGGGUUUUAACCGACUGAGAAAGUCUGAACUACGCGCCA
ensembl:lncRNA